GACGCCGCGUGGGGGAUGACGGCCUUCGGGUUGUAAACCCCUUUCGGCAGGGCCGAAGCUGUUGACGGUACCUGCAUGAGAAGCACCGGCUAACUACGUGCCACAGCCGCGGUAAUACGUAGGUUGCGAGCGUUUGUCCGGAAUUAGGUGAGCUUAAAGAGCUCGUAGGUGGUUUCUCGCGUCGUCCAGCCGCAUUCCCUCAGCUUUACCCUCGAAUCGUGCAGGUCGAUACGGGCAAACUUGAGUGCUGCUAGGGGAGACUGUAUUUCCCUGAGGGGCCGGUGAAAUUCCCAGAAUUUCAGAGAAUCACCGAAGACAAAGGCGAACCCCUGGGGACAACCUGACCCCCAGGACCGAAACCGUGGUUAACGAACAGGAUUAUAUACCCUGGUAGUCCAUGCCGUAAACGGUGGGCCCUACGUGUGGGGACCUUCCACGAUUUCCGUGCCGUAUAACGCAUUAGGCGCCCCGCCUGGGGAGUACGCGCCGCAAGGCUAAACAAAGGAAUUGACGGG
rnacentral:rRNA from 1 species